AGUGAGCAGUGAUGAUGAGUCUUUAGUAGCGAUGGAAGGUGCUAGUGUCGAUGAGGAUCAUCACUUGUUUACAACUAAGAAAGGAAAGUCUUCUUUGUCUUUCGAUUUGGAUAUAUGAUAUAUGAUUAAUUAUGAGAUUAAUCAAUUUAAUACACAUUCUAUAUGAUAGUUAUACAUAUUAUAUAUAUGUGACAUAAGGAUGUCGUUCAAGAUUCAAGGAUAAUAUCAAGAAAUAGCAUGUUCUUUAAAGAUAAGAGUUUGGAUUGAUUAUAAUUGUAUUCAAAAAAAUUCGAAGCGUACUUUCUCGAUGAGUCUCCUCUUAGCUCUGAUGGGUCAGAGUAUAUAUACAGAACAUAAACUUUGGAUAGCUAGGGAUCAGUGUUAAACUUAAAAACCCAUGUCCCUCUGGUCAGAAACUAAUCAGAAGAUAUGGGCCGUUUCAGAAAAGUGAAAUGUAUGUAUAUGUAUAUAAUAGUAUGUAAAUAUUGUGUGUAUACUGACAUUAAAUGGUUAUUGAACUGUUUAGUUUAUUUGAUAUGGCUGCUGUCUGGUUACCGCUGCAUUUCUGAAGCCGUUGUUGCUGCUUAAUUUGUCAACCUGCAGCUUGCAGGAGAAGGGCAGAGACAAAAUUAGACUUGAAAUUUAUAUUUCAAAAUAAUUCUAUUAUAUCUUAUAGGAUUAAAUAAAAAAAAGAACUUUUCAUCUGGGUAAGAUUGAAAAUGUAUGGUCUGUUACUGUUUCACAUACAUUGCUGAUGUGCAUUAACUGGUACAGAAGUAUUUUUAUUUUUCUUACUUAGAAGUUAGAACAAGCUGGUUUCUUUGUGUGGAUCAUAGCACAAGUCAACUCACACAUACAUGUACAUAUAUACUUUAUAUAAGAUACACGCAUGCAGAGUGUUAAACUGUUAAUUAAUCUUAGGUCUUGUAUGGUGUGUUUAUGCGUGUAGCUAACUCCGAUCCUUAAAUUGAAUUCCAUUGUUGAUAUACUGUUUUGGCUAGAAAUAUAAUAAAAUUAACAACUAACAAAUAUGAUGACAAUCAUAGAGAUAAUAUACAUGAAUCUUAUAUAUAGUAUAUAUGUUCUGUUAAAAAAAUAAUAUAAUAUAGAUGUAAAUGUGUGUAUACAUGUUAUUGUUUUUCAUGAUUUCUGCACAUAUAUGGUUACAACUCACGUUGACCAAAAAAAAAAAUAGUAACAACUCACAAGCAUUAACUAAACUAUAUACAUACCAUAAUAACUAGAAUCUAGGGCUUAUAUAUCUAGCUAGUUCACAGAUUAGUUUAGAAAUAUAUUCUGGUAUGUAUAGAUCUGUGGAGCCUCAGUGUAUUGGUACAAUAAAACUAAACAAUAUUUACUUCAAGCUUUACUUGAGUGGUGCUACAGAUAAAAAAUCUAGAACCUUUUGGAAGGGUUGUUAUUUUAGAUAUGUCAGCAGUAUUUGUCUGUUAUAGAGUUAUUUUUAGCAUACUGCGAAGUAAGCCUAUAUACUAGCAUGAGCCAUGAGCGCAUGCAGAGAUAAAAGUGAAAUAGUUACUAUAUAAAAAUACACAGGUCUGUCUGAUAUGUAAAUAAUAACAACAAAAGUUAGAGGCAUUUUUUCACCAUAUAUAUGUAAAUUAUUGAUUUUAGCAAAAAGGUGGUUAUUGAAGUAUUUAUGUAUAUAUAGAUGUGUGUGUGUACGUUUUACUAUUUUUGUGGGGAAUCUAAUCUUGAAUAAGAGAUAUAAGUUUAGACUUAUUUUAGCAUUCAUAGUUCGUUAAACUAAUUAAGCAAAACCAGGACCAUGUCAGCUAAAGUUAAUAGCCUAUACUUCACCUAGCUGCGAAAAAGCCAUUGAAAUCAGCGAGGGCUAUUUACAUAUAGAUCACAAUAUUAUGUAAUCGUAUAAAUCAGCGAGGGCUACUUGCCUAUAGAUCACAUUAUUAUGUAUGUGCACACAAAAAAAGAUCACAUUGUGUAAUCAUAUAAUAUAUGUAUGGAAUAGCAGAUGAGAUGUUAGACUGAGCUACGAAUACUAAUGAUGAUGAUUCCACAAAGAGAAGUAAAUAAAAGAUAAAUCAAAUCAAUUUAAAUGGUUGACGAUAAAUUUACUUACAUUUAUAAUGGUUUUUUUGAGAACUAAAUUUCUACCGUUUUUAUCAUUACUCUUCUUUCUAGUGAUCAAACAUGGGAAAUGAACUUUUUUAUUCAAAAUAUGUAAGCAGAAGUUAUAAGUACAUUUUAACAAACAAAAAAGAAGAAGAUAAAUACCAUGUUCUACAGGGAAAAGGUAAUCAUUUUUUUUUUGUAAUACCAGGUUCAAGAAGGUUUUGAGUAUUAAUCUUAGAUUAUAAACUCAUUAGCUAACUUUAAUUGUUUGUUAUUAUCAUGGUUUUUCGUGGCUUGGACAAGCUGACCGAUAGAUUACGAGUCUGAUUCAACUCAUUUGCGUUAAGAGUAUGAAAUCACAUACCGAUAUAUUUAUAACCGCCAGUGAGAUAGAAAUUAUAGAGAAACAUCCAAGCGAACCAAAGAUUUAAAACAUCUAAAGCUAAACCAGAAAGAGAACUAACUACUGGUUAGAAACAGUUAGGGGUGAAUAAGAAAGAGAAGCCUUCAGUUAAACCGAAAGAGAAGCCAUUCAAGACCUCCUCCUUUCAAGUGAACCGGUAACUUGAAAUGCUUAGUUAGAGCUAGAGAGGAAAGUAUCUGCAUCUGCCUGGCUACUCCAUGUCUAUGCCCAAUCUCCAUGGAUCAGGUCUCAAACCACAUUCUUACUGCUACUAUCAAUGGCUAAAGACAACCCAAACGAAAAAGAUUCAUCCUUUUGAAGGAAACAAUCACGAAAACCAAUACGAGAUUUAUUUUGCACGCAACAAAGCAAAACUAUAACAAAUGAAGCAAAUCCAUUAAGAGAAACCAUUCAGAAAGCACCGACGAGAAGAGAGAGUCCGAGCAAGAAGAGCCAAACGAUAUGGAUCAGUAACAAAGCUUGGCCCGGUACAGAAGCGCUUCCCGCGUUACCCGCGUCGCAGGCUCCCGUUUUCACCACGCGAGCUCCGUGGCACGCCGCGUCGGGACAACCGCACCAGUACGUGACUCCGUCGGCUCCGCAAACCGGAUCCGCCCGGAAACAGUUUAUUGGGCACCCGCCCGGAUCCGAAACCGUAUUGCAGACGUCGCCGCUCGAUUUCUCGCCCGCUGCUUGUGAGGAGCCGAUCAAGCAGAAUAGCAAUAAGAGUGAGGGGAUGAUGAUCCACGAGAACGACCGCAUCACUUGGUUCCUGAAACCUAUAGACAUCGAAUUAGGGUGAAAGGAGAGACAACUUUCCCAGAUUCGUAACCCUAAUUUUAUGUGAUUUGGGGAUUUUCUCGGAGUUUGCGUGUAACCGUGUUGUUUGAAUUGGUGGGUACACACCUGCCCACCGAGUCAAGCAGACAUCAAAAACUACGUGCCGUUUUUUGUUUUUGAUCAAAACCAUCAAACGUCACGCUAUUUAAAGAUAAUCUCGGUUUGCUGGUUAGACCGGUUCAUCAACUUAUUUUAACGCAAUGUUUGGUUUUGAACGGUUAAGAUGCUCUGAUAGUAAAGAUCAAAAACUUUGUUUAGUGUUUAAGGUGGUUAUUCAAGUUCAACAUUAAUCAAAAUUCUAUUUUCAAGUAAUCAUAAUGGCCAAAAUGUUAAAAAAAAAGCAUAGUAAUCGUAUCUCUUGAGCCUUCCCAAGUUGAUCAGACUUAUUUCUUUGCGAGGAUGCAGUCAGAACUGUGUGUCCUGUCCAAACAAAAGAACGGUUUACAGACGGUGAAGUGCUCGGCUUCAUUUAUACUCUUUAAAUCUUUAAAAGUAUUGGAUCCCAAAGACUUAAAGAACAAGUUACCAUAAUUUUCUCUUCAUAUCAUUCCAUAAAACAGUCGUUGCUUAAAUAUACAUAGAGAAAGGUAUCAACCAAAUAAAUUCCAACUAAACAAAUAAGGAACAUGUUAUACAAGUAAGAGACUUCCCACUAAUACAUGAGCCCCACGUUCCAUAUAUCUAUCCCAACCUUGACCAUGAUCUUAUCAAAAAGACUCUCUCUUUUGGAUCAGGUUCACUGAGAUUUUAAAAGGAGGAUUAUCACUUGCGGCAUAUCAUCAUGCCAACACCAAUUGGUACCUGAUGCACAAAGAAAGAGGUGAAAAACUCAAGCAAUACUCGAUGUCAAUGUGUCAAAGUCGGAGCUUUUAGGCGCUUUACCAUCGGUUAUAGGUACACGAGCAUACUUAAUUGGAAAGCCCUCAGCCUCUAAACAUCUGUACACAUCUUGGGGUGUUUGAACAGAAUUAGCAUCCACAUGUUCCCAUAAGUCAAAAAUCUGUCCAUCCUCUUUCAGACGAGCCUCCAUUCCUUCGACUCUAUCACGAUCAAUCCCCUAAACAAAGACCAAUUCAUAAAAGUCGAAGAGAAAUUAAUGAUAUAUAGUCACUAAAGAUAUUGCAAGUAAAUAAUAUCUGCUAAUAUACUGAAAGCACCAGCAGAUUGUUUACCGUAUACUCUAGCAUGUUCUUAUAUGGCCUUUCGACUUCCCGUAGAACAAACGGUUUCAUGUUGAUGUAUAUAUUAGUGAUGGGCCUAAUUCACACCAAAAAAUUUAGCUCAAGAGUGGAGGAUUGCCAAAACACAUAUAUAUUGUCCAAGGAUAUUUGUAUUACCAGAUGUGGGACUUUAUCUAAUAGCCUCUCUCGAGAUAUGGGUGGGAAACAGUCCAAAGGAAACAGACCAAACCCAAUAUCUUGGAAAUACCACAACAAUAUGUGCCACUUGUACAAGCUUACAUAGGUAGGAAACUGUUUAUGGGAAAUCAUAUGAUGGGCUUUUAACCUGGCUCUGAUGUCAUAUUAGUGACAUGCCUAAUUCACACCCAAGAGAUGAAAUGUAAUCAUGAUCAAAGAAGUUUGUUAUUCUCGAUAAGACGUUUUGUUACAAUGUGUCAGCUUAUAUAGUCGUUAGUUAACCGGAAUAAGCUAACCAAAAUACAAUACAUUGAACCAAUCUAAACCGAUACUUUAAUAGCCCCUCUCAAGAUGGCGACAUAAUGGAAAGAAGUCACAUUUUGCCCAUAAGAGAAUGGAAUGAAUCCGGCUGUAGCGGUUUAGUGAAAAUGUCUGCAAGUUGAUUGCCUGUAGUAACAUGUAACGUCUUGAUCAAUCCAAUCUCAACCAUGUCACGCAUUUUAUGACAAUCCUCCUCCAAAUGUUUAGUUCGAUAUAUGAUUAAUUAUGAGAUUAAUCACUUUAAUACACAUUCUAUAUGAUAGUUAUACAUAUUAUAUAUAUGUGACAUAAGGAUGUCGUUCAAGAUUCAAGGAUAAUAUCAAGAAAUAGCAUGUUCUUUGAAGAUAAGAGUUUGGAUUGAUUAUAAUUGUAUUCAAAAAAAUUCGAAGCGUACUUUCUCGAUGAGUCUCCUCUUAGCUCUGAUGGGUCAGAGUAUAUAUACAGAACAUAAACUUUGGAUAGCUAGGGAUCAGUGUUAAACUUAAAAACCCAUGUCCC
rnacentral:lncRNA from 1 species